rnacentral:lncRNA from 1 species
GAUUAAACCUGGGCUUCUGCUGAUUGCCAGUCAGUACAUAAAGAGUGUCAAGGUAAAAGCUGAGAAGUGUCGCAGCGCUAUUCCUAGAUCAAAAGAUAAAAAUUUGCAAGGGAGGGCAUCAGGUAUACUCCGGCCCUGCUUGGUCUCUGGCAGCAGUUCAAGUUCUUGGCUUGUCCUGGGCCUGUGCCCUACAAGGGGCAGCCAUCUGCCCUGGGCCAUCCUCUUCACAGGUCUCCCUCAGUUUCAGGCACGUGCCUCCCAGCCCUUGGGAACCCAUGGUAGAUUCUAGAAUGCCUCUGUGUGAUCAGUUUAACCCAGUACUAAUGCCUCUUCCAUCAACAGAUUCCUCAAAUGAGUGCUAGGAAGCUGUGAAUUUCUGGGAUAUGACAAAGCCAGACAGGUGACAAAGUACAUCUCUUGGCAAUGUAAGAUGCAUCUGACCCUAGCUGCUUCUUUUACUCUUGUGCCUUCUGAGGUGUACUAGUACAACAUUGUGAAAUAAACAGAAGAACUGCUCACA